rnacentral:misc_RNA from 1 species
AAGUCGUAACAAGGUUUCCGUAGGUGAACCUGCGGAAGGAUCAUUAACACUUUUUGAAAGAUUUCAUUUUUCUUUUUCGAAAAUGAAAUUUUACUUUACCCACAUUUUUGGAUGAAUUAACUUUUAUUAACCCUUUAUAAUUUUUAUACCCCAAAAAACAAAACUAAUACUAUUAUUUCUAACAUUUAUUUAAGAAAAACAUAAAAAAACAACUCUUAACAACGGAUAUCUAGGCUCUC